CGCCGGGCACGGCCCGCGCCGCGGCCAGCGGGGCCGCCGGCUCCCUCGGAAGCCCUGGGUCUUUCAAAAAUGUGCCAAAAUACGCACCCAAGCAUUGAAGGGCUCGCCACUGGAAAAUACUGCUGAAAAUGUGGAGCCUACAGAUGCAGCAACAAGUAGAGCUGUUUGGAAAAGGAGCAAGUAAAGAGUUCCUAAAAGUGCAAGACAUCUGGAGGAAUGCCUAGACAGGAACUGGACUGAGGUGGUAUUGUGGGAAGAAAUGGAAAUAAGACUGUGAAAAUGGAUUGAAGAAAUGGAGGAGCAAUAUUUGGGGAAAGGAGAAGAUAAGAAGUACAAGAUACCAUUUGAUGCUUUUUUCCUACAGAAAGCAGUAAAAACCCUGUAAGCAAUCUA